UGAGCAAACAGCCCAUGCAAAGGAUGUCUUAACGGGCCAUGUCUCUACUAAUAAAGUGAACAAUUGCCUUCUCCAAAAGCAGCUUUGCAAGAAAGUUUCAACAUCUAAUUGGAAUUUCUCUGGAAAGUUUACAAUGCCCGAUAUUUCUACACAUCUGCCACAAAUUUAUGGAAAUCAAUAUUUAUAGAAACUGAACAUACCUUGGUUAAACGUAUAUGAAAUGGAUUAUCAUCAUUGAAGAACAUCAACCAGCUGUCGGCAAUGUGCAGGUGGACUGAGGAAUUUUCCGGUGUGUCUUUUUAUGGACUGUACUCCGUCUUAGCACAAUUCCCAAUUUUACUCGGGAGUCACCGCUUCAGCCCGGUCCUUCUUUCAUAUAUCUACUGUCUUCAUAUAGAUGAAAGUCUCGCUGAUCUGCACUACCAGCUCGUUCAACGUUACUGACCACAAAGUAAUCCGACAAUCAGAUCGGACCUGGUCAUGUUAGGUACCAAAGGAAAACGAAAAUAUCAUUGGUUCUAUACUGAUGCAUGACUUCGCUCGGAACGCGGCAAGAAUUAACAAUGGAAGAAAAUACUACAGACGUGUUUAUUAACGAUAAAGUUAUUUUUGUUUUUAUGAAAUAGCGAUUGAAUAAAAAUAUUAGGUAUAUGAGUUUUAUUUAGAGA